rnacentral:rRNA from 1 species
GACGAACGCUGGCGGCGUGCUUAACACAUGCAAGUCGAACGGAGCGAAUGAAAGCUUGCUUUUAUGAGCUUAGUGGCAAACGGGUGAGUAACACGUAGACAACCUGCCGACAGGAUGGGGACAACAUUACGAAAGGAAUGCUAAUACCGAAUGAAGUCAGAGGAGGGCAUCCUCCUCUGAUGAAAGAUGGCCUCUGAAUAUGCUAUCACCUGUUGAUGGGUCUGCGUCUGAUUAGCUAGUUGGUGAGGUAACGGCUCACCAAGGCGACGAUCAGUAGCCGGUCUGAGAGGAUGAACGGCCACAUUGGGACUGAGACACGGCCCAGACUCCUACGGGAGGCAGCAGUGGGGAAUCUUCCGCAAUGGGCGCAAGCCUGACGGAGCAACGCCGCGUGAGUGAAGAAGGUCUUCGGAUCGUAAAGCUCUGUUGACGGGGACGAACGUGCGGAGUGCGAAUAGCGCU